AUUUAGGUAGCUUAAAAAAAGCAUAAUAUUGAAGAUAUUAGGAUGAGAGACCUCCCUGAAUA
rnacentral:tRNA from 1 species